rnacentral:lncRNA from 1 species
UGUUUCUCAUAGUUUUGAAGACUGGGGAGUCCAAGAUCAAAGCACUAACACUUGGUGUCUGGUGAAGACCUUACAUGGCACGGAGGAGCAAAUGCUAUGUUUUCACACAGUAAAAGGUGAAAGGGCAAAAAGGGCCUUUUAACUAAUUACCUCCAGCCCUUUUGUAAGGCACCAAAUGCUCUUAUGAGGCUUUAUCACUUCCAAAAUAGGCCCCACCUCUUAAUAUUAUCAAAAUUGGAAUUGAGUUCCAACAUGAAGUUUGGUUAAGACAUAUAUUCAAACCAUAGCAGUUAUGAUUAAGAGAAAAAAGUUUAAUAUUCUUUAAAUGUCUUCUUUUGCUUCCCUGAAACUCACACUUAUUUGAUGAUGACUCUUCAACAUUUUAUCCGAAAAACUAAUAAAUUAAGGAAUAUUUUGGAAUGCUAGAAUUUUAUAAUUUAAUAAUCAUUUAACCUAUACAAGGCAAUGUGAUUUACAAAGAUAAGUAAAAUAUAGUUUUUCUUGCACAAAAAAUUGAACCACGAUGAGAGAAGUAAAAUUUAAGGGCUGAAUCUGGUAUAAAUGUCUUCCAUUUUUUAGGGCCAGGCAGCAGUUUAUGUAGAGCAUUACAUUGAAAAUCUAGUUUUUUGCAAUACGUUUUCCUGUUAACAUACCUUAAUAUUUCUCUGUGAUUUCAAGGUAUUCAUGAAAUGUUCAGGAAAAGAUGCCUUUUUUAAAGUCUCAAAUUCUGAAUAGAAAUGUGUUUAGGACUGGGUUUCAAACAUGCAUUUAAAUGAUGUAGUUAUUCUUAAUGAUAUACAUAUAUAGCAUCUUGUGAAUAAGACAUAUGUUGUAAAAUAUCUAUAAUCCUCAAAAUAAAUGCC